UACAGAGGGUGCAAGCGUUGCUCGGAAUCACUGGGCGUAAAGCGCACGUAGGUGGAUUGUUAAGUCAGGGGUGAAAUCCUGGAGCUCAACUCCAGAACUGCCUUUGAUACUGGCGAUCUUGAGUCCGGGAGAGGUGAGUGGAACUCCGAGUGUAGAGGUGAAAUUCGUAGAUAUUCGGAAGAACACCAGUGGCGAAGGCGGCUCACUGGCCCGGUACUGACGCUGAGGUGCGAAAGCGUGGGGAGCAAACAGG
rnacentral:rRNA from 1 species